CUCCCUUGUCCUUCCAACAUCUCCUCUUCUUGGGAAGUUUUCCCAGAUUAGUAAUGUUCCUGCUCCAUCUCAUGGCACACUGAACUUCCUCCUUCCACAGCUUUCAUCUUGCUGAAUUAUAAGUUCUGCUUUCUCCCUCUUCCACAAAGACUGGGUGCUUCUUGGUGGCUUGUGUUAGGUCUUGGGACUUAACACAGUGCCUGGAAUUGAGUAGCGGCUCAACUGUCAUCUGGAAGAGGCUAAGUGGAACCCUGGAGCUGUCAUUAUCUCUGCUGACCCGGACUAAAUCCAGGCUCACUUGAGCUGGUAACAUCUUUGACAUUCUCAAGCCCUGGAAAUGACAACUUCCUUCCUUCAGCAAUGGGCAGAGGCAAGAAUCAGAACCAGUGCGUCUUGGCUAGAAAAGUUUGGAUAAAUGCCAUAGGAGACCACUUUCUUCUUUCCAGUUCAAGAGCAGGGGUAUGACUCAUUUCCAGGCUCCCUGAUAGGAGGCAGAAUAGUCUGGAAGCUGAGCAAAACCUGCGUGGUGUCUCCUGGCCAGGGCUAGCACUCAGCUCUGCCCCUAGAAACCCCAGCACCAGUUCAGGGGCAUCGGUAGCAUUGAGAAACCCAAAUCCUGCCUGUCUCAUUCUCUUUGAGUCAUUGGCUCUGUUACCUCAGGGGCCUGAUGUUUAGCCAUGUGGACACACACCUGUUUUUGCAAGGCAGUGUGGUGAGGUGGAAAGAGAACCAACAUGGGGUCAGGUCAACAUGGCUUCCAGGUCCGCUUGAUAUGCUGCACUCCCUUCUCUCUGGGCCUGUUUCUUCACCUAUAGGUAGCAGUACAGGUUUUCAUCCUCUCUCCAUAUAUUUCCUGCAUCUGUACUCCUUGUAGUGAAGUUAGCAGAAAAUAUCCUGUGAUGAGGUCACUCAAAGUCAGGUAGGAGAAAGUAUAGUUUAGCAUUAUUAGGUACUGCAGACAUUCUAGCAAAGCUUAAUUUUUAUGGUGCAAACGGCCUGAUUUUGUUUUAUAUGUGUGUCUCCAAAGGCUCUUGCCUCUUGUACUAUGUUAAAUAUGUGUCCCUCAAAAUACAUAUCUACCUGGAACUUUAGAAUGUGAUUUUAUUUAGAAAGUAUUUGCAGAUGUAAUUAGUUAGAUGUAGUAUAAACUUAAGAUAGGUUUAUAUUAGAUUAGGGUGGACACUAAAUCUAAUGACUGGUUUCCUUAUAAGUAGAGGAGAGGGGACAUACAAACGCACACACAGACACACACACACAGACACACACAGGCACACAUACACACACACACACACACACUCACAGAGGGAAGAUGUUAUGUGAAGACCAAGGCAGAGAUGGG
rnacentral:lncRNA from 1 species